UACUACCCUGAACGGUGGAUCACUCGGCUCGCGGGUCGAUGAAGAACGCAGCCAACUGCGCGUCAUAGUGUGAACUGCAGGACACGCUCGAACAUCGACAUUUCGAACGCAAAUUGCGGUCCGCGGAGACACGUCCGGGACCACUCCUGUCUGAGGGCUGGCCGUACACCAAAGGGCCACACUGCGAACGCUUUCCAACAGUAAGGCGUUCUGCCGUUGACGGUUUCGACGCGCGUUGCCUCUUCGCUGCCUUUCGGUGGCGAUGGGGACGGUGUCGUCCGUUUAAAUAUUAGUCUCUGUGGGUAUUAUUACUCGCGACUUUUGGUCGUCUCGACGAAGCCGACACGUCGUAAGAGGUCGGUGUAGUCGAUGAAACGAUUGGAACGAUGCGCGUAAAAUAUACAAUUUAGAGAUCGCUGUAAGCGGAAACUCCGUAGCGCGCUUUCGUCGUGCGGACGGAUAUACGAGUCUGCCUACGCACCCUAUCGCCGGCCUCAGAUCAGGGAGGAUCACCCGCUGAAUUUAAGCAUAUCAGUAAGCGGAGGAAAAGAAACUAACCAGGAUUUCCUCAGUAGCGGCGAGCGAACAGGAAAGAGCCCAGCGCCGAAUCGCGCGAUCGUACCGGUCGCGCGACAUGUGGCGUUCGGGAGGUUCUCGUCGUCGGGUCUCCUGUCCAAGUUCCUCUUGAACGGGGCCGCUUUCCCGGAGAGGGUGCCAGGCCCGUAGAGACGGAGCGCGGCGGCGAGAGGGACUCUCCUUAGAGUCGGGUCGCUUGAGAGUGCAGCCCCAAGCGGGUGGUAAACUCCAUCUAAGGCUAAAUAUCACCGCGAGACCGAUAGCGAACGAGUACCGUGAGGGAAAGUUGAAAAGAACUUUGAAGAGAGAGUUCAAGAGUACGUGAAACCGUUCAGGGGUAAACCUGCGAAACUCGAAUGAAGGAACGGAGAGAUUCAACACUGGCCCGCCGCAAAAGUGUGUGGGAGGUGUGCACUUCUCUCUUAGUAAAACGUUGCGACCCACUCCGUAUCCGACUAAGGAACUAUCGUAGCCGAUGGCGUCGGGCGUCGUCGGACCAGCGUUAGUUACUGUUGGUAAAGAGUGGUAGACUACGAUUCGCGCACGCGCUUUUGACGCGUUCGGCCCUACUCGCGGGUGUAGUAGUGCCGUAGUCCGCCUUUGCGCGAACUAUGGCGCUGCACGCUCGAGUUUGUGCCUGUCUUGCGACAUCGGACGGUGCGUGUCUCGGUCGGCGACGAUUACGUUUCGGGCACUCGCAGGACCCGUCUUGAAACACGGACCGAGGAGUCUAGCAUGUGUGCGAGUCAUUGAGUUUUUGAAGCUGAAAGGCGAAACGAAAGUGAAGCGGUGUUUCUAACGGAGCACCCGGGGAGGAUGAUCGCGGAACUCCGUCCGCGCUCCGCACUUCCGAGGCGUUCUUUUCCCAAUUUGCGGAUGUGGACGUGCUAUGAGCACAAAUGCUGGGACCCGAAAGACGGUGAUCUAUGCCUGGUCAGGUCGAAGUCACGGGAAACUGUGAUGGAGGACCGAAGCGAUUCUGACGUGCAAAUCGAUCGUCUGAACUGGGUAUAGGGGCGAAAGACCAAUCGAACCGUCUAAUAGCUGGUUCCGUCCGAAGUUUCCCUCAGGAUAGCUGGCGCCGAUCGUGAACAGUCUCAUCCGGUAAAGCGACUGAUUGGAGUAUUAGAAAUCGAAACGUUUCCUAACUCUUCUCAAACUCUAAAUGGGUGAGAACUCCGGCUUGCUUAAAUAUUGAAGCUCGCGAUUCGAUGACGGUGCCAAGUGGGCCAAUUUUGGUAAGCAGAACUGGCGCUGCGGGAUGAACCGAACGUAGAGUUAAGGCGCCCAAAAGACGCUCACAGUUACCUAAAAGAGGUUGGACGUUCAAGACAUCAGGACGGUGGCCAUGGAGGUUGGUAUCCGCUAAGGAGUGUGUAACAACUCACCUGAAUAAGCGUGCAGCUCUGAAAAUGGAUGGCGCUCAAGUGUCUUGCCUAUACUCUACCGUUACCGGCACGUGCGGUGGACGGCCAAUGUCCGCCAUUAAGCCGUAACGAGUAGGACGAGCGCGGCGGAGAGCGCAGAAGGGUCUGGGCGUGAGCCCGCCUGGAGCCUCCGUCGGUGCAGAUCUUGGUGGUAGUAGCAAAUACUCCGGUGAGGCCCCGGAGGACCGACGUGGAGAAGGGUUUCGCGUAAACAGUAGUUGCACGCGAGUCAGUCGAUCCUAAGCUCAAGGAGAAAUCUUUUUUAUGGAUGUGUUUCUGUAAUAAGAACUACGUCCGUCGAGCGAAAGGGAAUCCGGUUGAAAUUCCGGAACCCGGCAGCGGAAGCGUUUCAGUAAUCGUUCGUUCGCUCCAAAAGGGUGUGAAUGUUCGACGGGGUGACCCGAACGGGCCUGAAGACGCCGUCUGGAGGUUCGGGAAGAGUUUUCUUUUCUAUUUGAGCGUUCGAGUUCCGCGGAAUUCUGUAGAAGGGAGAUGCGGUUCGGAACGCGAAGAGCAUCGCUAUGGAGCGAUGUCCGGAUCCUCCAUACGGACCUUGAAAAUUCAGGUGAGGGACAUACGCGUAAUGUCGCGCCGGCUCGUACCCAUAUCCGCAGCAGGUCUCCGAGGUGAAGAGCCUCUGGUCGAUAGAAUAAUGUAGGUAAGGGAAGUCGGCAAAUUGGAUCCGUAACUUCGGAAUAAGGAUUGGCUCCGAGGGCCGAGGCGAGUCGAGCUCGAGAGUGAAAGGACGCGUCGGAGUACGGCUGGUGUAAAGUCAUCCGAAACUCUGACCUCCGAUAGAUCUUUCGAGUAGUGAAUCUCGGAUCGUGGCAUCUCUCGAUUCGAGGUACCUACGACCGCCGUAAACGGCCAACUCGGAACUGGCACGGACAAGGAGAAUCCGACUGUCUAAUAAAAACAUAGCAUUGCGAUGGCCCUCGCGGGUGUUGACGCAAUGUGAUUUCUGCCCGGUGCUCGGAAUGUCAACGUGAAGAAAUUCGUCGAAGCACGGGUAAACGGCGGGAGUAACUAUGACUCUCUUAAGGUAGCCAAAUGCCUCGUCACCUAAUUAGUGACGCGCAUGAAUGGAUCAACGAGAUUCUCGCUGUCCCUAUCUACUAUCUAGCGAAACCACAGCCAAGGGAACGGGCUUGGGAGAAUCAGCGGGGAAAGAAGACCCUGUCGAGCUUGACUCUAGUCUGGUACUGUGACGAGAGGCGAGAGGUGUAGCAAAGUGGGAGGCCGUCCGCGGCCGUCGCUGGAAUACCACUACUCUCGUCGUCACGUCGCUCACUCGGUUAAGCGAAAACUGUACCGGUCGAAUGAUUUCGAGCGGCACAGAGUUUGGUUUCAAGCGUGAAGUGAACGCUUCGCGUGGUUCGAUCCGAAGACACUGCCAGGCGGGGAGUUUGACUGGGGCGGUACACCUGCCAAAGAAUAACGCAGGUGUCCCAAGGCCAGCUCAGCGAGGACGGAAACCUCGCGUGGAGCAGAAGGGCAAAAGCUGGCUUGAUCCAGAUGUUCAGUACGCAUAGGGACUGCGAAAGCACGGCCUAUCGAUCCUCUCUCGUAAAGAGCUUUUAGAGAGAGGUGCCAGAAAAGUUACCGCAGGGAUAACUGGUUUGUGGCGGCCGAGCGCCCAUAGCGACGUCGCUUUUUGAUUCUUCGAUGUCGGCUCUUCCUAUCAUAGUGAAGCGAAAAUUGCUAAGUGUUGGAUUGUUCACCCAUAAAAAGGGAACGUGAGCUGGGUUUAGACCGUCGUGAGACAGGUCAGUUUUACCCUACUGAUGGCGCGUCCUCGCGAUAGUAAUACUGCUUAAUUCCACAGUAACCGUGGUAUCGGACAUUUGGUCGUGCACUCGGCCGAGCGGCCGGCGGUGCCAAGCUACCAUCCGUGGGAUAACGUCUGAACGCAUAUAAGACAGAAACCCGUCUAGCCGAAUCGGGCGAGGAUACCUCAAGCGGGGGCCCCGGAGUCGAAAGUGCUCCAAACAAUGUGAACUCUUAUUAGUCGGACUUUAUGCGUAAGGUUCGGCGUCGAAGCCCUACACGGCGCCUCGGGUUAAAGCGGUAGCGCGAGACGAUGCGCAGCGCUCCCGGCGCCUGUAUUAAAGUAGUUCGAGGUCGGGGCCCGGAAUCGUCUGUAGACGACCUUCGUUCCUGGCGGGGUGUUGUAAGCAGGAGAACAGCCUCGAGCUGUGAUCUGUUGAGACUUAGCCCCUUUG